ACACCACACUCACGCAGAAAAAACACACACUUGAUUUAAAAACAGAUCAUACGGUAGCCGUCAGAUCAAGGAACGAUCCAGAUCUGAUGGCUACUAACGCGAUGGAACAUCGUAAGAUUAUGAAUACGCGCACGUAUGAUCCAGCAAAAAAAAGAAAGCACUAUAAAAGCAAUUUUAACAAAAAAAAUAACAUAAAACUAAAACACUUCUCUCUCUAAGUUAAACUUAGAGAGAGAAGCUCUCCCCUCCUUCAAAGAACACGCGACCGGAGAAGAUGAAGAGGGGCGGCCGGAGCUGCUCCGGCGCGGUGGUCGGCCGGAGCGCCGGAGUUUUUUUUGCCUUUUUUUUGAAAUUUUUUUACAUCAAAAUACUCCUCUUCCCUUCCUCUACUCGAAUCCAAGCUCAAAAUUUCGAAAACAUGCACCAAAAAUCCUAGAUCUACAAAUGAAAAUGUGAAAUUUUUACCUCUUUUUCCGGUCCCCUUCCUUCCUUCCGGUUCGUUUCUGCUCCCUUUUCCGGUCCGGUUCCGCUUUCCUUCCGGUUCGGCCCCCUUGCUGGUCCGGUUCGCUUCUGCUCCGGUUCGGCCUGCUUGCUGUUCUGGUUCGGUUUGCUUGUUUGGCCUGCUUGCUGUUCUGGUUCGGUUUGCUUGUUUGUGAUUUGUGUGGUUAUAUGAAUAGUUUUGAGGUUUUAGUAAAGUUUUGGUGUUACUGGAUUUUCCUAUGAACCUAUGAAUGUUCUUCCUAAACUCAUACUCUUUUCUUUGUAAUUUUUGGGCUUGAUUUGAAAAAGGGUUGGAAAAGUGGAAAAUUAGGGUUUGUGAAUUGCUGCUGAUUUUCUGACGUGAACAGUGACUUCUGGCCCAUUUCCCAAUGAUUGACAGUGUAUUUAUAGGGACAAACUGUAACGCCCUCCUUGAAUUAUUUGAUUAUUUAAUUAUUUUUAUUGAGUUAGGAUAUAUUUAUAUAAUUUAUGUGAUUUUAAAUAAUAUUGGUUGAUUAUGUGGUGUGUAUUAUUUUAUUAUAUAGUUUAUUUUAAUAUUAGUUAGAAUAAUGUGGGAAUUAAUAUUAUUUUGGAGGUUGGGGAGUUAAUUAAGAAUUAAUAGAAUUAAGGGGAGUUUAAUGAAAUAAAGGAGGAGUUAUAUUUUGGGAGUUAGGAAAAGAAAAGGUUAGAAGCAGUUUUACGUGAAACAAGUUUUGGGAGAGAAAACCAAGCCAAGGGGAGAACAAGAGCAAGAGGGGAUCGAUUUUGCUGUAGCUUUGUUUGUGCAAUUGAAUUCAGGUAAGGGUGAGACUAUCUCUCAAUGAUAAUGGUUAUAUAAUUCUGAUUUUGAUUUAGCAUAGUUCUAGUUGAAAUUGGGAAUUGGGGGUUAGGUUUUUGGAGUAUGAUUCUUGGAUUGAAAAGUGUAGAAAUCAUGACAAUUGUGUUAAGAAUCGAUGUUCAGAUUGUAGAAUAAACAUAUGUUGAGUUUCCUAUCAAAUUUGGGGUUUGGGUGGAUGAAAAAUUGGGUUUUUGGCUGAAAACUGGUCUGUUCCCGUAGGGUUGUUCGUCGCAACUCGCCACAGCGAGUAAACUUACUCGCCUCGCGAGCUUCACAGAGACAGCAUCACCUGUUUCGCGUUCUUGCGUCUUUUUCACAUGUUUCUGUUUUGAAUUGGUCUUUGGUGUAAACAUGAAAGUUGUAGAUAAUUUUGUUAGCUUUCCAAUGGCUUUAGUUUUACUCGAAAAUGAUUUUUGGUUUAUGAGAUAUGAUGAAAAUACUCCAAGGAGGUCUUAGUGAAUUUUUAUGAAUUUCAGCACAACUUUGUCAGAAUUUGAAAUGAAAACUGGUAUUGAUUGAUACAGAAUUGGUCUUAGGUGUAAGCACGAAAGUUGUAGGUAUGGAUGUUAGCUUUCUAAUGCCGUUGGUUUGACUUCAAAAGGAUUUAUAGAACUUGAGCUAUGGUCAAAUUACUGCACGUAGAUCACAGUGAAGAAUUGUUUAUGAUUGAUGAAUUAAUAUAUGUAUGUAUAUAUUUGUGAAUACGAUAUUGUCAAUGAUUGAUGAAGGGUUAUAUGUAUAUAUAUGAUGUUUUAAGAUGUUAAUUACCAUUUGAUGUUGUUAUAUCUUGAGAUUGUUUGUGUACUGCCAUGUUGCUGUUUAUUAUUGAUUAAGAUGCAUCUGUUGGUUAAUGUUGUGGGAAAUGUUGGUUAAUAUUUGAUUAAAGUUAGGUUUUGUUAAUUAAUGGGUUUUGAGUGUAGGAAUUGUUGAAUUGGAGUUAGAAAUGGGUUCUGAGUGCAUAAAACCUUUCAUUGCAUAUCUGUAAACUAAUUUGGGGAGUGAAUUGAGGAAAAAUGGGAUUUUUGGGAAAAACCUGCAUUCUGCCGUACAGAAGUUCAUCGCUCGCCUCGCGAGUAGCCUAUGCUCGCCAUAGCGAGUGAACAACUUCAUGGCUCGCCUCGCGAGUGAUACAACUCGCCAUAGCGAGUAGCCUUGUGAAAAUCUGGAUUUUAAAAAUGUUGUUACAAGCCGUAUUUUGGGUAGUUUCAUGUGCCUAGAUGAUUUUUAAGAAGACUGGAGCAAGUUUUAGGUUUAAAAGAUGAUUAGGGAGCUUAGAAUUGAGGUUUGAGUGAGAAAAAUAUCAUUUUUCCCGAGAGCACCAUAUUUCUGUUCGCCUCGAACUCGCCAUGGCGAGUACCUUAUUUCCUGAGCUCGCCAUAGCGAGCAGAUGUGCUCGCGAGGCGAGCUGCCCAGAAUUUUGUUGGUUUGACUUCUGCUGUUGAUGGUUGAUUUAUCUUGUUGAUUAAGCAUGGCUUGUAUGUUGGUGUAUUUCUCUGGAUGUUCUAAUUUGGUUGUGAUUGAUGAAUGGAUGCUGACUGAAUGAAUGUUGUAUUUAAUUAAACUCCCUUAAAGGUGUAAGUUGGUUGGUGAAUCAUAUAUAUGUAUAUGUCUAGGUUGGUUGGUAUGUAGAUAUACUCUAUGGGGAUUAGUUGCAUUAACAUAACAGUGGGAGAGCUUCGGCUCUGGAAUGCUUAGUCGUUCAAAGUGGUGGAGUACUAGUUACUCAAAGUGGUGUUAGUGGUGAGGACUUAUGUCCUGAUGAGAAUGCUUUAACCAUUCGACAGCGGUGUGGGUCACGGCCCUGAUUUUGGUACCACAUGCAUAGUUGCAUUUGUUGAGGAGUCUUAGUGGAGUUGUCAUGUCUUGCAUGAGUCUUAGCGGUGGUGUCGAGUUGUUGCAUGAGUCGUUGUUGUUGGUUGUAAUUAUCAUUUGGUUGAUGUUGUUAAUGAUGAUAUACUUAUAUAUUGAUGAAUUAUUAUUAUGACAGGGUGAUAGAUUUAAUUGAUGAGUUAGAUAUUUAUUAUUGACGAUAUUGUUGAUUAUGAAAUAUAUACAUAUAUUGGAUAAUUGUAGUUAUCGUCGUCGUUGGUUGAAUUAGUAAGUGUUACUAAAGUUAAAGAAGUAAGAACAUUAUUGUUAAAUAUAUGUAGUUGUUUAUAUUAUUAUGAUGUGAUGAUUAUGUCGUGUCGUUUAUAUUAUUAUGAGAAGAUAUUUAUGAUAUUGAUUACGAUGUUAUGAUGACUGUUUAUGGUGUUGAAUAUAUGAUUGUUAUGAUGUUACAUGAUGAUGAUUAUAAAUGUACUUGAUGAUGGUUAUGUUAAGUUGAUAAGUUGUCUUUUAUUCAUGAAUUGCUAAUGGAAUGUUUGAUGAAUAAUUAUUAUUAUGAAAUGAUGAUGUUACAUAUAGUUGCUAAGUUGUCCUCUAUUCAUGAGUUGUUAAUAAGGUGCUAGGUGGAGAAUGUUAACAUGAAUUAAUGAUGUUGUUAUGUUGUAUAUGAACUAUGAAUAUGAUGUUGUUACGUUGUUUAGGUCAUUGAUUAUGAAGUUGUCAUGUUGUAUACGAAUUAUGAGUAUGAUGUUAUAUGAUUAUGAUUAAGAUGUUAAUUAUGAAGUUAAAUGAUGCUGUUAUGAUGUUGUUUAUGAUAUCGAGUUAUGACUGUUGAUAUGAUGAGUAUAUGAUAUGGUUUAGGAGUCGUUAAAAGAAUUACUAUUACUAAUUGAUGAAGUUUAAGUUGUUAGAUGCAUUUGAUGAAUUAUAUAUUAUUAUUAUUGAUUGUGAAUCUCACCCCUUCUGCUUGAAAAUGUUGCUCUUCGUAUGAGUAACUUGCAGGUGAUCAAGAGUAGGUUGCUGUGUUUUUGCUGUCGUGAGUGGCUAUCCCUCACUUAGUCGUUUAGGUGCUCUGAUACGUAACGGGAUGGGAACUUUGUUGCAUGCUUUUCUAUUCCUUACGUAUUGUUUAUAAAUUUACAUGAUUAAGUUGUUAAUUGGAUUUUUAUGAGAUGUUUUGAUGAGGCCUUCAUGCCAAGACUUUUUAUGUUAAUGAAUUUAAUCCGCUGCAAAGUUUGAAUUAAUAUGUUGAAGGAUAAAUUAGUUAAUUAACUUAUUUAUGAUUUUAUGAAGUGUAGCAUUCCGUUUACAUGUUGAAUACUCUGAUUAAUUAAAUGAAAUUUUUAAGUCGGGAAAAACGGGGUGUUACACAAACUAGGGUUGGCUCUGGUACAAAUCAAUGACCAAAAUGCCCCUGCAGCUGAGACUUGGAGAAAAAGAUUUUAACAAAUAAAUAAAUAAAAACAAAAUGCAUAAAAUAAAUAAACAAAAUAAAUAAAAAGAAAGAAAAGAAAAGGGGAAGGAGUCAUUCACGUGACUUUCAUUCCCUUGUUUUUUCUAAAAAAAAUAAAAAAUAAAAAAUAAAAAUAAACAAACUAACCUAAAAAAAGAAAAUAAAAAGCCCCUUCGAAAUCUGACAUGAGGUACUUCAAAGUAUCCUCCCUGCCGAAAUUUCGGUUGAAAUGAUUAAUAAAUAAAAAAAACGCCUUUUAAAAUGCGAUUAGGCCUUCUCUUUUUUUGGACAUGAUCGUUAUGAUUAAAAAGACUAUAUAACAAAAAUGCGUCAUAAAAAUGAAAGCGAGACGGUUUUAAUUGUUGUAAAAUGCGAACGUUGAUUUAAAUGUAAAAAUAAAAACUUUUUGAAUGACUAAAGACAAGAAACACAAACUUUAAAUGGUAAAAAAACGAAUAAAAAGGAACGUGAACCAAUUUAAAAUACGGACAAGAGAUUUUAAACGGUCCAAAAUUGGGGUAUGACAGCGUUGAAGAUAAUAUUCAAAAUAGAAUGUUUAUUUUUUUAAGGAAUUCAAAAUAGAAUGUUUUUUUUUUUUAACAAAAAAUGGAACUUAUAUUAACAAACCACGGACACCUCCAAGUACAAGAUGUACCAAUGAUGCCCAAAGUAUUUACAAAUAGAGAAAUGAUAUUUGUACAAACAAUUUGUGACAACUUUUAUACAACUUUCUCUCUCAUACUCACAUGAUGGUCUUAUCAUCUCUCUUCCUUUUUCUCUCUCCAUUGUUUUUGACUAAUAAGAAGAGAGAAAAACAAGGUUUUCAUUAAAGUUGCCAUGGAAUGGAUGUACACAUAUCAUUACAAAUAUACAGAGUCAAACAAAAAUUAGCCAAGUCCCAAACAAGCCAAAGAACUUGACCACCACAAUUGGAACCCAAAAACAAAAACAACAUUAUGAGCUUUUAGCCACCAAAGAGAGUUCCGCUUUACUUUAUCCAUCAACUGAUCAAUGGAGCUACAUGUAUUAUUAAACAACCUUUGAUUACGAUCAUUCCAAAUGAUCCACACAGUAAGCAACCAAACAAGCUGCAAAAAGGAGCACCUUGCACGAACUCCACCUGCUGAAUGAGAGAACUGAAGGAAGUGAUCUGAGACAACAAUGGGGUCUGGGCCUGAGACACCAAGCCAAGACCGCACCUUAAACCACAAAGAGCCAUAAAAACCACAAGAAAUAAAUAAAUGCUGAGAAGUCUCGAUUUGGCCGCACCCUAACAAACAACCCGCGUCCGAAGCUAAGAGGAUACAGCGAUGCAUCAGAUUUGAUCGUGUAGGCAACCUAUUCUUUACCAACCGCCAAGCAAAUAUUGAGACCUUAAGUAGAACAUGUUUAUGCCAAACAAGAGCAUCUGCACCUUCUACCUGAGGAAUGGCGUGAAUAGUCAGUAAAUGGUUGCGCUGCUGACUGUAUAACCUGCAUAAGGAUCCAGAUGCCACCUCCAAGUGUCUUUCACAUUACACUGCAAAGAAACAUUACCAAGUAAAAUAAUACACUCCCCUAGCAUCUCCUCCUCCCACACCCACAAACCCCCUUCUCCAACUCCAACCCGCCCCCAACCUCCCACCCAACAGAAAACAUGUCAGCAACCGUACAAGAUUUAUCAACCGCAAGGUCAAAAAGGCGCCUAAAGCGCACACAAAACGGCACACCACCUAACCACGGAUCAUACCAAAAAAGAGUAUCAUCCCCAUCCCCCACCGAACGAGACGCACACUCCCACCCGCCACCAACACCACCUAACCCGUCCCUAAUAUUAGCGAUCUCUCGUCACCAAGAAGAACCACUCCGGCCCCAACCUCCAACCUCCUAGCCUCAUCACCAUAUCUCACCACCAACACCCUAUACCAUAAACUACUCCUCUCCACCAAUAAACGCCAACACCACUUUCCUAACAACGCAACAUUAAACUCCCUCAACCUCCGACCUCCCUCCGAGAAUAAAUAGUGGUCCAACUGACCCAAGAGAGUUUCUCAUGAUCCUCACAACCCCCCCAAAAAAAUUUAGUAAAAAUAGAGUCAAGGGAAUAAAUUAUACAUGACGGAUCCUUGAAGAAGGAAAGAGCAUAGACAGGUAGAGAGGUCAAGACAUACUUUAGAAGAACUAACUGGCCGCCAAACGAUAAAAACCGACUAUUGAACCCAUACAGUCUCGAUCUAAUGCUACAUAGAAGAGGUUCCCAAAAGUUCAAUCGACGUGGAUCACCCCCGAUAGAGAGACCCAAAUACACAAACGACACUUUCCCCACACGACAGCGGAGAACAGAGGCUGCCUCACUCAGCCAGGAAGCAGAAACAUUGACGCCCACCAACAUGCUUUUAUGAAAAUUUACUUUCAAGCCAGACAUAACCUCAAACAACACCAACACCGCUCUCAUCGCCCGAACAUUGGCCCAACUCUUCACUCCAAGAAUCAACGUGUCAUCAGCGAACUGAAGACGAGUAACUGACACUAAGGAGGGCGCCCCAACUUUAUAGCCUUCAAAAUUAUUCCUUUCAACCACCGACUUCAUAAGAAUGUUAAAAUCCUCUGCAGCUAACAAGAAAAGAAAAGGGGAGAAAGGGUCUCCUUGGCGCAACCCCCUCUCCAAGGGGAACUCAUCAGUCGGGCUACCAUUAACUAAGACCGAAGCUGUUGCAGUCGAUACACAUUCCUUAAUCCACUUCCUCCAAAGAACGAGGAACGACAUCCUAUCCAUAACCGCAUCCAGAUACCCCCAAUCAACUGAAUCAUACGCUUUUUCGAAAUCCACCUUAAACAACAAUAAUUCCUUUUUUAAUCUGGACGCCUCAUCCAAAAUUUGCAAUAAGAAUCCCAUCUAAAAUUUGUCGACUACGAACGAAAGCUGACUGUUCUUCUGCAACAACAGAGCCCAUCACUUGCCACAAUCUACUGGCAAGAACCUUCGCCAAAACUUUAUAAACACUACCCACCAACGAAAUGGGACGAAAGUCAUUCAAUUUCUGAGGGCUGUCAAUUUUAGAAAUAAGAGCAAUAAAAAUUGUGUUAAUACCUCGCGACAAUUUCCCAUUUUGAUGAAAUUCUCCCAUAAACCGCAUAAUAUCCCAACUUCCAAUUGCUGAGGGCUAUCAAAAUAGAAUGUUAUUGGCAUUACUCUAUGUUUAAAUAAAAUAUUAAGUGGUUUAUGAUAGUACGAUUUGAUCAAUCAUAUUAAAAUUCAAAAACACUCCAAACUUUCAACAACGGGUCAAAUGGAUAGAUCUCCCAUCAACUAUUUUCAUUUUUCUUUGUUUGACCACAUUUAGAAGCUACCUCAUUAAUUUAUUUUAAAAACUAUAGAAAGAAUUAUAAUUUUUUUUACCGAUUAUUGAAAGCUUUUAAACUAUAGAACACGUAUGGUAUUAUUUUAACCUCCUUUUCUAGUAAAUAGGUUUUGUUUGAUUUUAAUCUCUUUUUUUUUUACUAAUAUUUGACUAAUAAUAUUUUUUCGCUUAAAUUAAAAUUGGGUUUGUCUAACAUGUGCAAUAUUGCACAUGUUAAGUUAACUAAAAUUAGUAAUUUUUCAUUAAAAACCAACAAUUAUUGAUUAAAAGCUACAUAUUUAAUAUAAAAAACAUAAGUUUCAAAUUAAAAUUACUAAAUUUGCACAUGAUAAAAAACCCAUUAAAAUUUAGCAUUUUGUAUUACAGCAGAGCGUGAAAGUGAAAAGAAAACCUCUGUUUCAAAUUUCAAAUCAACAAAACCCUUCUCUCUCAUCCAUUUCUCUGUAACUUCUUCUUCUUUUCCUCUCUCUCUCUCUGUACAAAAUCUUUAGAGAGAGAAACAACCAUCAACAACCAAAAUCAAAACCAUUCUCAGAUCUCUUCUUCAAUGGCGAACAACCAGAAUCAGAAGCAACUGAUCUACGCUUUCGUAUCAAGAGGAACAGUUAUCCUCGCUGAAUUCACCGAAUUCAGUGGUAACUUCAACUCCAUCGCUUUUCAGUGUCUUCAGAAACUUCCUUCUACCAAUAACAAGUUCACAUAUAACUGUGAUAAUCACACCUUCAACUACCUUAUCGAUAAUGGUUACAGUACGUGCAAUUUUCCCUUCGAUCUAACAUUUUUUUUACUCAUCUUGUUCCUUUCUAUGUUCAAUUGAUUGCAUCAAUUGUGGUGUUUUUGCAUAAACUGUUAAACCCUAUUUUUUUUCGUAAUUGUUGGUAUGCAAACCCUAGAUCACUUAAUCACCGUAUGGUUAUUGCGUAUUUUUAAUAUUCUUGCUUGGAUUGGUGGAAGUUUAUGAAAAUAGUGACUUAAAUUGAAUUUUAUGUAAGGACUUGAUUUUAUUGGUUGUGAUUUUUUUGGGAUUAAAAAUAUAAUUAAUCCUAGUUGUUUAGGUGAAAUGUAUGAAAUUUGAAUUGAUUCUGUACGUUGAAAAUCUGACCAGGUCAAAUAUUCAUUUUAGUUGAGCAAUGCGAUGAUCUUCUUAGUGCUAGGUUAUAGAUCAUCUAUUUUUUUUUUUUUUAUUUUUUUUUUAUGCAUUUUGCUAUAGUUAUACUCAAGGCAGUUAAAAUUCAGAUUUCAUGCAAAAUCGGGAAGGUGAAGGAAAAUCAUAAGAAUCGAAACACUAGUCAUAUGAUUCACUAAGUGUAAUCGCAGACAUGUUUCAACAAGUAAUAUGGGUGAUUCCACCAAAAUAGGAUUAUGUGUAUACUUUUACUCUUGAACGCUGAGAGCAAGCAUAAUCGCCAAAUUGCGGGGUUUUACGAUUCAUAUCGGUAUUUUAACAACCACGGUCAUUGCCAUUUAACUCUUUCUUUUUUUUGCUUUGAGAUUGGGAAAAGAGAGGGUUGUGUAUUUGAUUCCAACGUAUAAAACUUGUAUAUAGUAAACAAGUGAAACAAUAUAUGCUAACUACGUGCGUUAGGUAAUCUUCCGGCAUCUAUGUUUUUAGAGGUGGCUUUUUUAAAUUAUAAUUUCAUCAACUGAUAUUGCUUUUGUUGAUGCUGCUGCUUUAGUUCACUAGCGGCAUAUAGAAGAAAUGUCUGACUUUUUGGAUUUGCAGCUUAUUGUGUUGUUGCAGAUGAAACAACUGGAAGACAGGUUCCCAUGGCCUUUCUAGAGCGUGUCAAGGAUGAUUUUGUGUCAAAAUAUGGUGGUGAAAAGGCUUCUACAGCUCCUCCCAAUAGCCUUAACAAGGAGUUUGGGUACUAACUUUCUGCUCUAAACUUUUUGAGUUUAAUCUGGCAGUCUAUUUAUAUUUUAUAUAGUUAUUUUGUCUCAUGUGUUAACCUCUCUGCACAGGCCAAAGUUGAAGGAACAUAUGCAGUACUGUGUUGAUCAUCCUGACGAGAUAAGCAAGCUUGCAAAGGUGAAAGCUCAGGUUUCUGAAGUUAAAGGUGUCAUGAUGGAGAAUAUUGAAAAGGUAGAGAUAAACUUCAAAUUAUUCUGGUCAAUGUUUUAUCAUGUUCAUGUGUUUGUGCUUAUGAAGCAUUGAUGUUGAUAUAUGCAAAAGUUCAGCUUACAAAUUCCAGGUGUUAAUCUUUGCAUCACUACAUGUAGAUAUUAUUUUUCAUUACAUUUUGUAAACACAUGUACACAGUUACAUAUGCGAUGUGUAAUAAGUUUAUAAUGAACCUAAACUUAUGUUGAAAACCUUAAACUAAAAUGUUAUACUUAAAUUAGUUGAUUCAAACUCCAAAGUUUUGUGAAAAAUAAAAUAAAAAAUAAUCAAACAUUUGUUAAGUUUAAAUCCAUUGAAAAAAGCAAAUGAAAUUCAAAUGUUUCAUAUAGGCGUAGCACAAUGGUAGUUAUUUUAAAAGGUAAGAUCAUAAAAUAUGAUGAAAUAAGACAACUCAUGAAAUACAUAAAGGAUUUUUCCAGCAAUAAUGUAUAGGUUGGGAUCCAUUUACUCUAAGAGUGGGUCUUCUCUAUUGUCCUGUUUAAUUAUUUUCUGUCGAACAUGAAUUCAACAAAUCCAUCUAUUGAAUUAAAACUUCAUACGAAGUAGACCGUGAUUUUUAAAAUUUUAUAAUUGGUUGAUCCGUUGCUGCACAACUUUAUUUUAACCUAUAACAUACUUUUUUAAAAUAUAAAUAAAUAAAUAAAUAUCAGCAAUAAGAUUACAAAAUCAAGAGUGCUUGAUUUAUGUGAAAUUUGACAUGCACGAUCAUCUUAUUAAUGACAUGAUUUUACAGUUGAAUAAUUUUAGUUCUUAUGUUACAAAUCACCCGUGUCCUAUAGCCACUUCUUAUAAUUUAGAUUUAGAUAUCAAUACAUUUUCAUAUAUGGUUUUUAUAUGUGAUAUAAAUAUUUACCAUAUUAUUAUUAACGCACUUUAACGUAAAGUUUCCUUUGGUUCAAGAUGUCAUACUGACCCCUAUGGUUUAUGUGUUGAUAUGUUUUCAUUUCAAGUUUUAUUUAUUGUUCACAAAGUAUAUAUAAUUGUUCAUAUUAUUUAUUUACCCACAAGAAUUUUAAAUCAUGUAAUGUAAUCAAUCAGUGAAGAGUGCAUUGGGCACGACCCGUCUGAUUCUUGCAUGAUUUAUUUGGAAAAUGAUUUUUCUACACCCAUUCAACACCUUGAGAGAGAGAAGAGUAAUGUGAUAUGUAUUGGACACAUAAUAAUAUUGAUUAAUGUGUUCAGCCUUAUCAUUCAUUGUAUCAAGUUUUUAAGAUCUCACUAAUCAGCCUUAGACUUUUUUUUUUAGUUCAUAAUGAAUGAAAUGAACCCCCGUAAUGCAUUAUUGAAAGUUAGCUCUAGUUUAUCGCUUGAUUCAAAUCAAUGGCAUGCUAAAUCUUCUCAAAUCGCGUGGUUUGAGUCACAAAACUUGUGACUAUAAUAACCAACAGCCAACUAAUCUCGUGUUUAUAAUUUAAUGUAGGUUCUAGACAGAGGAGAAAAGAUAGAGCUUCUGGUGGACAAGACUGAUAACCUUCAUCACCAGGUUAGUAUGUAGUUUACGUGCAUCUUCCUGUUCUCUAUAGUAUGCUGCCGUGGUCUGUACGGACUGGAGUUGUGGGUUACUACUAUAGAAAGUAUAUUCUUCUGGUUUAUUUAGAUAACUUUAUUAUCUCAGUCAGUCAGACCCACUACAGACAUCCACUUCUCCCACUUGUUUUUAAUGAAUAUAUGUGUUUGUGUGUGCAAUUUUCAGUUGUUUUUGUACGAGUAUAUCGACAAAGUAUCUGUCUUUUUAUUUUAUUUUAUAAAAACAAUUAAACUGAUGGGAAUUAAUAUAAUUUUGUAAUCUAUAUUCUCCAUUUUUCUCUUUCCCUUUCUUGCUACCACUACGAUAAGUCUCUCUUUUACAAUUUUCAAGCCUGUCUGCAUAAGUCCUGAAACUCAUGUUCAGGGGCAGCGGCAAGGUAACUAUUAAGCAUGUUCUUCAACGUUUCCUUCUUCAAUCUGGUGGCAGUGUUCUCUAGCUCACGGAACACCUUUUUCCUUCUUGGGGAAGAGGUUCCUCCUCAAAUCCCCAACCCCAUUCGUUUCCUUUUUUGGAGCGAUAAUGAUAAAGGCUGUAUGUUAUUCGUACUGGUGUCAUGCAGAUAAUUUAACAUAUGGCAUUCUCUGUUCCAUACACAUAUAAUAAUGUUUUGAAGUUGCUUUAGAGUUAUAGAAUCUUCUUUACAGUCCACAUAGUAUGCAUUAUUAGAGUUUGAUGGUAUGCUGAGUCUUGUGAGAUCUACCAGUCCCAUUCUCUUCUCUCUCCACUUGAUAGCAAAAAGAAAAUUCUUUAGAAUUCACAUGUUCACUUUUCUGUUUCCAGUAUAGCUUUUGAAUUUUGAUUAUGGAGUGGUAGCAUAUAAUUUUGUAUUUUCUCUUUCAGGCACAAGACUUCAGGAGUUCUGGAACCUCAAUCCGUCGAAAAAUGUGGCUGCAAAACAUGAAGGUAAAGCUGAUUGUGUUGGGAAUUUUGAUAGCACUGAUCCUCAUAAUAGUCCUUUCUGUGACUCGGGGAUAAUAAGCACCAUUCUCUGUGGCCUUUAUUGUUAUUCCAACCUUGUGAUUAUCCAAGGCGAUGUCAAUGUAUGGCAUGUGUUUGUAUGUAAUAUAGAUUUCAAGUCCGUUGAAGUUGUCACUUUGUUCUAGUUUUAGGUGCUUUUGAAUAUAAAUUGGGUUGUCUGUUUGAAGUUUGGUUUCCAUUCAGAUUAUUCAUAUUGACAUUGUCAUCAAUUUUGUAAAUUGUUUGCUUUGCGAUCAUAUUUUUUUGUUUCCAAAUCUACCAUUUUUCAUUGUUAAACUUUGAAUGUUGAUUGGACCUGUGGCUUUUUGCACACUACAUAAGGGUGGAGAAACUCUUAUAUAUUUAUAAAUGAUCUAGACUUGAUUAGAUAUUGAACAUUUGCUCGCGGUUAGAUUCCUAAUUUUUCUGAAUCAGAGACUGUGGCCCUCCCAACAUUCAUAAUAAGGAUCUAUUCGAAUUUGACAUAACAUUCAUAAUUUUAUAAUGGCUAAAAUUGGGACGCUCCGUCUUAAACUCGAUUUCUGAAUGAUAACACAUUGAUUAUUGGGAGUGUUAGACGAGUAUAAAGAAGCGACUACUCAUUCAAUCAAGAAUGCCUAAUACUUCCUUGUGAACACAGUGUUGAUUGGUUAUUACUCACUUGGCUACUCACUACUCCAAAGAAGUGUGGAGCAACUACAAAGUAAGGGUAUUCAACCUUUAAAGAGUUACGCAAACCAUUUUGAUCUAAUGGGAUUGGUAAUUUAUGUAAAAAGGUUUUCAAUGUACUAGAAUAACUCAUUGUUGAAUCAGUAAAUGCCAAUUUUAUUCACUCUUUGAAGCAUUUGCAUCUUUACCAAUUCCCUCAACUUGUUUUUGCACAACAAAAGUUGAUAAAACCAAGACUGUGGAGGGUCUCUUCUUCUGUGCGCGGAAGUGCUAAUGUAUGUGCUGAUUAGUCACUUUAACUUACCCACCUGCUGUGUUAGAAAGGAUGAUGUUAACUGAAAUGUCUAUGUCCCUUAGUUUUUUCGUUUUUUUCCUUUUCGUUUGCUGGGCUUUAAGCACCUUUUACUUGCCAAAAAAGAAAGGUUGUUUCUUUUCACACCCUAUGAGUUUCUCAUGUGCCCUAUGCAGUUUGGAUUUUAGAAUCCAAACUGCAUAAAAACCCCGUAAAACCUUCAAAAAUACGUUGAAAUAUUUUGGAUUUUAGAAUUCGAAUAGAGUGCGCGAGAACUUCAUAGGGCGAGAAUUUCAUAGGAUGAGAAAAGUAAUGGCCAAAAAUAAAGAACUCGUUGGGCCUCAAGUAAUCACUUGGAAUGACUGUUUUUUUCAUCUUCUUAAUUUACCUUGUACGUAAAAAGCUUCAUCAAUUGCAAUUCAAAUAUCCAUGCAAAAAAGAUUUCAAAUAUUGUUUGAUGGAUAAAUGAAUAACAUAGCAAGUCAAUGAUCAACCCUAUAAUUUUCGAAGACAUACCGUUCUGUUUUUUUCUUUCUUUUCUUCUAACCAUUGUAUCCUCGCACCGAACUUUAGAACUUAAUCUCUUGAGGUGACCAAAGUUUAUUUAACGAUUUGACCUCUCCCAAUAUACAUGUUAAUAUAUGGUUAAAAAUAUCAAAACAUUUAUCAGUUGUGCCACGUCAUGUUGGUAUUUUUUUAAGUCUGCAUGACAACUAGAAAGGAUGGUUCCAAUCUCAUUUGACCGAUUUUAUCCCAUAUAUGCCAUUCAAAAUAACACAAAGAAUACUAAUAUUAACCAUUUCAAGAAAAAAAGAAAGAAAGAGCGUUGGUUAAUUUACUUAUUAAAAACGGUUCUAACUAAAAACAAGUCAAGUCAAAUAUGAACAUGACUAGAAGUUAUUUAUUUUUCUAAAAAAUAGAAAGAAAGAUCAAACAGCAUUAUUUGAUGAAAAGGUUUGUAAAAUACAUAACACAUUUAUUACCAACAUUAGACGUGUAGCAUUUGCAAGGGUCAACUAACCAAAGUUUCAAAGUCAUGCAUGGUAAGCGGAAAACUUUUCUUUCGCUAUAAUCCAACAAAACUUACAUGGCCUCUUACGUUGAAAUUCAUUCAAACUGUUUUAAUUAAUAAGGAAAAGUGGUUGUUACAUGGCACCAAAAGCUACGUUCUACUUGAAAUUUCAACUCUUGAAAAUGGAAGAAAAAACGAACCAAUUUAAUAUAUAUCUUUCCAUUUAAUGAUCCACCCCCUAGAAGUCAAAAGUAUAGGUUAGCCAAAUAUUUGUGAUUCAAUGACGCAUGGUACCCCCUUCAAUCAAGGACAAUUCUUCUACAUGCAAUUAUGGUCCUCCAUUUGUUUGUCUCCAACAACACAUCAGAAGAAGAAGAAGAAAACAAAGGCAACAAGACGUCCGUAAAUUUGUCUUUGUGACUUGUGAGAAAUGAUAUUUAAUAUACUUGUAAUUGAAUACAUGCAUAUAAAAACACUUGUGUUAUUUUCCAAUACAAAACUUUCACAUCAAACUUCAACCACAAUUUUCAUGAAAAUAACAUGUACUCGUGAAUCACUAAUCAUCUACAUAGCACAACUAACUAUAAUUUUUAGAUGUAAAAAUAUACAUUAUUUUUGUGGGUUGGGUUUGGAGGUUUAAGGUUCAAAUUCUAACAAAGAGAAAAAACUAACAUAGCAACUAAUAUACUAAUAUUUAUCAUUAAAAAAAUAUAUUAUUUUUAAUCCACUAAAAAAAUAUUUUCAGUGUAACCUUUCAAAUUGUGUUUUUCUACUUCUUUUAAUAACUAAUGUUAGAUUAACAACUUUUUUCUCCUUCUCCCUGUUUGUACCCAUGACUUCAAUUCCAUCUCCUUUCAAAUUGUGUUUAUGGAAGAUUUUUCAGGUUUUCAAAUAUACACCUAAAAAUUAUAGAAAAUGUCAUUCAAAAACAUGUUUAAUUGUGUAAUGUAGUUGAUUAAUAAGUUGUGAGAGUUUGACAUAUUCAUUAACCAUCUAUCGGACGUAAUUGAUUAUGUAUUUAAACAAUGUUAAUAAUCUAAACCGUCGUCAAAAUUUAACGUUAAAUUUGAGUGUCAAAAUACCAAUUUUCUAAAAUAAAGAUAUACUCUAUGGUUUACUUUCAUUUUAAACUACAAUUUCAAUAACUUACCAUCAACAUAACCAAAAAGCUCAUUACUAGGGAAAGAAUAUGGCAAAUGCUAACCUAUUGAAACUUAAAGUGCCCUUAAGACACACGUUAGCCAAACCCAAAAAAUAUUAGUGACAAAAGAAAAUCAAAUUCAUCUCUUAUUAUUGAUCACAAAUUAAAUUAACACACAAAGAUUUGAUGUUUUAUCUCUCUAAAUUUUUCUCGAUAAUUUAACUUUUUUAGUAUUUCUUCUUUUAAUAGUUUUUUUUGGAUAGUGAAAAAUUGUUUGUAAGUUAUUUUAAACAAGGAAACUUGAGUGCUUUUUCAGAAGAAAAAGACGAUAACAAUGAACACUUUCUUUUUGUUGAGGAAAUAACAAUGAACACUUGAUUAAUUAAGCCUAUGUAUAUAUUAGUUUAUACUUUAUAUAUUCUUUUUCAUGUCGUCAUAGAUGGAAAUUUUAAAUGCCUGAGAAAGUUGAUUUUUUUUGUACACGUAGGCUGCUUCACGGGUUUACUCAGGUGAAGAAGAAAACCUAAAAAUAGUUGACAUUUAAUAGACGUUAGCACAAAAUAAUUGACUAAAAUAUACUAAUAUGACUUUUUUUUUUUGAGGUAUAUGUUUUCAUCAAAAAGAAAAAAAAAAGAAUCAAUUCACGAGGCGGCAUUUUUUAAGGGUCAUUGGAUCAAGGGUACUAUUGAUGUUUAAUUAUUGUCACGAUCCUUCCAUUCAAAAUUUCACCUAACAAUUUUUUUCUUUAUCCAGAUGCAUUAACAUGAUUCCUUGCUUGUGAUUUAGAUUCACUAUGUUAUAGAUGAGAACAACAAUAAAAUACACUUGUGAUAAGGGUCAAUCACAUGAAAUAGUCCAAUUCAUAUAUUUAAAUAAAUGGUUGCAGUUAAUGAAAAUGACACAAUUUCAUAUCAUACAUGUCCUUCAAUUCAAUUAAACCGUUUUAUCUUUUCAUUGUUUUCAUGAAAAUGACAUGUCCAUUUGUGAUGUGUUCGUUGCAUAUUACACAAAGUCACAAACAAGCCAAAAUUUAAAAAAGUGGUUGUUGGGUAAAAAGUACACGUCCUAUAUUUAGGGACUAAAGUUGCUUUGAAGGGUGGGGUCCAAAAUCUAAUUGCCAUAAAUUAAACGGAUUAAAAUGAUCAAAUAUGUCCUUUUCUAGUCAUUAAUUCUUUCGUUUGAUUUGAACGUGAUUUGUCAUGAAAAACUGUCCUUUUCUUUUAAUAAGUAUGCUACCCAACAUCAUCUUAAGAGGCUUAAUAUAAAAGCAAUUAAGGAAACCGGAUAAUUUUAUUUUUCCUGCUAGAGGACAAGUAUAUGACACAAUUAGAGCCUGCUAAUUAUUUGGCCUCACAAAUAAUAAGAUAAAAGAAUUUACUAGAUACACUUUAUUAGAUUUGUUCCACCUUGCAUGUUGAUAUAUUGAAAAUUAUCAAAGUUGAAAAAGUUGAUAGAUGUCUCUGUGAGCUUAGCUCACUUAAUAAGGGAUAAUAUAUGUUAUAUGUAGGGGUCAGGUUCGAAUCCCGAAUACCUCAUUUAUCCACCUUUAAAAUGAAUUACUCAAGCCGUUGGGCUACUUGACCAAAAAAAAAAAAAAAAAAUUGAUAGAUAAUUAACUAUCUUUCAUAAAGAAAAAGAAAAAUAAUUUUAGUUGAGAUCACAUGGUAAAAAAUAUUUGGUAAAUAUUUACAUUUCCAUAUUAACAAAUCGCAUUUCGUCGAAAGUAUCGACUUAGUAAUAGGGUUUAAUUUUGUAACAUCGAGAGUAAAGCUGAAAUUAGUUACUUUAGAAAAAACUAUUCCCUCCGGUCUUUUAUAUAAGAAACAAAAAACGUAAAACAUCAGGACCAAGGAAAUACAUUGAAAAUAGUUAUUUUCAUUUAAUACACCUCUACAUUUAAAAAAAUUCCAUGAAUACCCCUAAAUUAAUUACUCUUUAUUCCACCAACUUAUUUACUUUUAAUAUUCUCUCUCAUAAUAAGUAAGGGCACAAAUGAAAUUUAGCUUCAGACAUACUUGAAACUUGGUCAAUAUUUCUUAUAAAAAAGACUAAAAAAAUUCUCACUUUUGUUUCUAAUAAAAAGGAUCGGAUGAAGUAUUAUAAAAUGAUCGUUAAUGCCACUAAUAUGCUUCUUUCCCAAUUUUUCAUAAUAAAAAACCAUUUUGCAUCCUACCCUUAUUUUAUAUUAUAUGAUUAAUAACUUAGACAAGGCAACUUCAACUUAAAUAUAUAAACUUUUUUCACUCACUUAUAUAUGUAGUAGGAAUCCCUUAAAAAAAAUGUGAUAUGAAUGAUAAUCACCUCCAACUUUCUUUAUUUAUGAAACUUGUUUGUAAUUAAAAACUCUAAUCAAUACAUGCAUCCAUGUGUUUGCCCUUUACACGCUAACAAUAGCUGAUUACAUAAUCAAUUAGCUAAGCCAUAAAUAAAAAUUAACAACAUAGCAAUUGAAUCAUAAUCUGAUUCUUUUUUCUUUUUACUCAUAAAAAAUUGAAUAUUGGGAUUCAUUUUAUUUUAAUUAAAGUUCAAUUAGCCCUUGUGCUAAGUCUAUGAAAGAGACCUACAAUAACACUUCAAAUUAAGCCUAAUUAAUUUUUAAUAUUUAUAGGGUGGUGCAUUUUUCAUGCAUUUCCACUUGUUGUGCUAUAAACAAAACACAUAGAUUGAAUCUCACAUCAACUUCGUGAGAAAAGCCAAACAAGUACUCUACCAUGAGUUGAGAAAUUGAUUUGAAACUUAGAAAGGAAACAAAAAAUACAAUCAUCCAAUUUAUGUCACUACAAGAGAUUGAUGCUAAGAAUGGUCCACACCCUAUCUCCAUGUAGGGUCAUAAUACAUUAUAUAUAUUUAUAUAUAUAUUUUCAUAUAGUUUAAUUAUUAAAGUACUUGACUGAAUGAGAACACUAAGAAGUAAGAAUAAUUGUUACUAUUAAAGGUGUUUCUAAUAAGCACAAAUUCCUCCAUAUCGUGCUCAUCUAGCAGCCUCCAAAAGAGAAAUUCUACGAAAAUGACACAAACCUAUCUCUAUCAGUUUGGCUCUUAUUAAUUUGUUGUUAACUUUUACAAUAUUGUCUGUUUUGGCCAACUUAAUUGUGGAUUUAAUUCAUUUUAUUUUGUCUUUUGUCAAUGGCCUUAGCUACUAUUAUCUAUAUAAUUUAGAGUUUAAUAUUGCUAUAUAUGAUAGAUAAAUACAACUUAUAUCGUAUAGUAUUUAUAAUUACUGUGUCAUAAAAUGUUUAUCAAACGGAUCUUCUUUUUGAACUCCAAAUAAUUCUCAUAAUAUAGAAUUCAUUAAUCUUUUUUGGGGGAUGCAUAUAUUAUGUUAUUAUAUGUUAAUGUUAUGAUAAAACUUAUUAUCAGUAUUAUUAAUUGAUAAAUGUUUCGUCAAAAAAAUAGUUGAUAAGUGAGGCAGUUUUGAAACUUGCUAUAUACGCGUCAAGGACCAAAAUCGAUUGAUCAUCAUAGUGAAAGGAAUCUAUUAUAUUGGUUGUCGUCAAUACUCAAUACUACUACUAUUUUUUUUCUUCCCUUUCAAAUGUCUAAUCAUUCUUGUUCAUGUAUAAUAAAUAAAUAAUGCUACAAACAACGUUGGUUUGAUUUAUUCCACAGUCAAAUCACUGUAAGAAACAUCUGGGAAAAUGAAGCAUUUCAUGGUUUUCAUCAUUACAUAUAUAGACUAACCUUCAUGAAAUUAAAACAAUUUUUUAAACUAUAGUACAUGGAAUUUGACAAUCAUGGACCAUUACACACCAAAAAUCGUCCUAAAAUAGAUAUCAUUACUUUUAAAAUUUGGUCGUUGAAUAAAUUACUAUAAUUACCGAAAUAAUUCAAUUGCGACAUAACUAUUUUUUUUGCUUUCGCACCAGUUUCUGACCCACUAAAGGUGGAUGACUAAUCCGACUCAUGCAUACUGACCAAACGUUAUUCUCCAUAGAAAUCAAACCUGAUAUUCCUCAAAUACAUCAUUAGAAGGAGCUCCUUGCUACUGAAGUCUAAGCAACUUGGUUGAACAACUGAUUUUUAGUUGCACAUAAUGUUUGAUUAUUGUAAUUCAAACUCUUAAAUCCCCACAGCAUGUUAGUUAGCUAUGUUGUACGUGAAAGAACUGGUUGUCACAUUAUUGAUUUUAGGGAGAAAAAUAAUGGUGUCACAUGGGUUGGGGGAUUUGUGUACAAUCCUUCAAGUUAACAUUAAAGCAAUUGAUGACCAUAUCGAAAGUGAGUAUACAUGUUAUCAAUACGUUACUAAGCAUUUUGUUUUUUUCCUUUUUUUUUUAUUUUUAUUUUUAUUUUUAUUUUUGGACUUUAUAGCGUGGUGUUGCAGCAUUAAUUAUGAUCAUGGAGUGUCCAUAGACCACUUCUUAAUAAUUUAAAAAACCAGAAGAUUCACUUGUCGUCUCUAUUUGUUUAGGUACAACUUGUACCCUCUUCUUAAAUAAAUAUGCUCCUAUUCUUACGGAAUCUAUUCUAUUAUCGAUACAUGAACUAAAUUUUUGUUGGAACAAUGCUUUUGUGUUCUUCAUUGUUGAAUUACACUUUAAUUUGGAUUAAUUUACAUUACAUCAAAGAGCUAAUCUCAAAUCAGUUAGCAACUACUAGCAUCUAACUAUUAUACUAACCAUCAAAACAAAAUUCUUACUAUUUUCUAACUUCUUAAUUGUCUUGCUUGCAGAGAAAGUAAACUAGUAAAACUAAUCUAACAUGAAUUAAUCUCUUCAUAACACACAAGGGACGAAGCUAGAAUGAGGAUCAGCAGUGGCCACGGUCCCCAAAAACUUUUUUUAUACUAAUUUAACUUUUUUUAAGCUAGAAUGAAGUAGUAUGUAUUAUAUUUCUUGGUCUCUAAAUUUUUUGUGAACAGUCUUAAGUUUAUAGAUUUAAUUGCAUCGAGAUUGACCCUCCGCACCACCGGUGGCGUCCAUUAUUAUCUCGCGGAUCUCUGUUUUCGAAUCUCCAUCUAUCAAUAGAUCCGAUUGUGGUUUCGAUUAUGUGGGAUCGCAACAUGUUCAAUAUUGCUUUGCGGAGCUUUGUGGUGGUUAUGAUAGAAAUCACAUUGUUAUUGUUUAGGACCUAAAAUUAUCAAACAAGAACAUGGAGGGGAUUAAGACAAUCCUAAUCGUCCGUCGUCAUUUUGAUUUAUGCUUUAUUUUCAGGACUCGUCUCCUCUGGUCUUGGGUAGUUCGUUCGUACAAACAGCCAAUAAAGUAAAAACUUUUUUCAUCGGUUUUAAUUUCAUAUCAAACCUAAAAUGAUCCUUUUACAUUGAAGGUCCUCAUAUACAACACAACAAAGUCCACAUCAAUAUUAUAUUGUAUUGCCGUCUCAAAAUAAAUAAAUAUUGUAUUGUAUCCGAUGUAAAAAAAAAAAAAAAAAACAUUUUUUAUCCGAUAUAAAAAGCUUUGCUGCACCAAUAAUCAUACGAAAACACUUGUGAUUACUCUAUCUUCAACAAUAAAAAGAAACUUUAAUUAGCUUGAAGAAAACAACUCUAUGUUGGUUGAGGCAACAUCAAUAAAUAAGACUUAAGAUACAAUGGGGUCAAAUCAAUUAAUCCAUUGCCACCUCCAAUAAAUAAAUAAGUACUUAAUCUAGAUUAUUGAGAUCAAAUUUUCUUUUCUAUUAGGUCCAUUGCCACCUCCAAUCAAUCAAAAGUCUAAAUCUUUAAGGUUUUUGGGACCCUUUGCUCCCUUUAUUUUAUGCAAAAAAAGCAAAGGUACUUUAUCAAUUACUUGCAUCCAUUUAAUUAUGAUUUAGCUAGUAGCUACCCACUUCAAAUCCACUCAAAUUUGCACUAAAUAAAGUGGUCCUCUUUCACUUCAUGUUAGCUCACAAGAUCCAAUGUAGAUAGAUAGAUAGAUUCAUGCUCUUUUUCCCCUAAGAAAUGGAGUAGUAGGAUGCUGUUUUAUUAUGCCUUUAUAUGUUAAAGCACGGGUGGUUUUUACUUUUUCUAUAUGAAAUUUUCAACUUAAAUAGUGGAGACUCAAGCAUUUAAAACAAUGUCAUUAUUGUAUGUCAAACAUAAUUAUAGGGGACCAAAAUCUUACAAGAUCACAUAUUCACAUGUCAGUGAAAAUUUGAGAAGGGGUAAAAUUAUGAAACUUAAAUUAGGAUUCUCUCAAUCGAUUUAUCUUUAACUUGAGUUUAGUUUAGAUCAAUCACUUCUUUCAUAUCAACAUAUAUGUCUCUUCUAAACAUUAGCCUUAUUGAAAUCCGGUAAAUAUGCAUGGUUGAGCGUGGACAAUAUGGUCACUGUAAUUUUAUUUUAUCUCUUUUCACUUUGAUUUUUAAAAGCUUCAAUGUAUAGCUUUUGAUCCUACGUGAUUUUCCACCGUAAUUUUGGUGUUUGCCAAACACACACUAACUUAGAAGGUUCAUCACAAAUGGGACCACGUCAUUACUAAUUUCAUGUUCAUGGUUCACAACUUUGACUACUUUUUGAAUCACUCCACAAGAUCUUCCAAAAUGGUUGGCAUAUGAAUGCAACCUUAAUUUGAUAAAUGAAAAUGAAAGAAAAAAGGUAAAACAAUAGCAAUUGUUGAUCAUAAGUCACAAUUGAUGUUUCUCCAAACUUCAAAGCAAAAAUUUACAUUAGUAGUACUAUUGGAAACUAUGAAGAAAUUUCUAAUAUUUUAUAGCCAAUUGAAAAAAGAAAUCAUGAGUAGUGUUCUUUCCACGUUAAUGAUGAAAUGGACAUUGAAAAUAAAGUACAUUAAUAAUCUAGACACACUUUGACAUUUAGUGCCAUGUCUAUUUAUAUGUUUUCAAACCCACAUGUAACAAGCAACUGCAACCAAACUUUGUCUCUUCAAUUAGGUUUUGGAGCUGUCAUUAUAAAACGACAAGAUUACUUUAGCUACCAAAGACAUCUCACGCCCAUAUUCACAUUUCAAGCCCACACUUUCAUACUUUUGUAGAAAUUUCUAUUUCAAUAUAUAAUUUAAUAAUUGUACUUAUCUUCUGAUUUCAAUUAGGACAAUGCACUGAUGCAGGCUUGCCUUGGGGUAAUCAAUACAAUAUCAUACGUAGCAUCCAUGAAACAUAGCAUCCAUAUUUUUUUUUUUUAAUAUGGGUCAUUGUAUAUAUAUAUAUAUAUUAUAGUACUAUAUAUAUUUUGAUGUGUACUUUCUCUUAAGCACAUGAAGUUUUUUAUGCUAAUGAACUUUUUAUAAUAAAAAGUACUAAACUAUUUUUAUUGAUGAAAAUAAUAUGAAACUCUUCUUUACUUUCUUCGAUAUAGAGAGGGACUUCGCGUUUUUUCGGUUUUCCUAAUAUAGAGUUAUUGAUUCAAAAUGCUUCAAAUUUAUUAAUUUAAAGAAUGGACAUCUCUUGAUGGAUAUUCUUUUGACACUUGAGUUUACAACUAAACUAUUGAUCACAAUGAGUCAAAAAAGAAGAAGCUAUGAUCACAAAAAUUAAGUGAUCCCUUUUUUUCUAUUCUUUUUUCAAUGGUGUCAUUGGCAUACCAUCAUGUUGUGGAUCUACUAUGAAAGUACUAGUAAAUAUAUUUAGAUGAUGGAAGAAAGCAAUAAAAGAGGAGAUGGAAAGGAGAGAAGGAUGAUGGGAAUCCAUCAUGUGUACAUAUUUAUGUUUUCUCUUUUUUGUUGGCCACUCCUUUUCAUUUUACAUACCUUUUGAUUCAUUCAUAGUGCGUGCUUGUGAGGGAAUUUAAGAAUUGGAAAUGUUAGAUGGCUACGGACAAGGUGGGCUAGUGUUUCCUUUUUAUUCAACCUAUACACUCGUCAACAAAUAGCUAUAGUAGUACUAGUACUUGUGAUGAUAAUUGAAAAUUUAUUUAUUUGCAAUAUAUAAAAGCAAUCAAUUUUUGCAGGCAAGAACAUGAUAUGUAGGUUCCAUGCAUGUUAGUUGAAACUUGAAAGUUUGCUGAUGUCAAUCAAUUCAUAGGACCGGAGGAAGAGGUGUUCCUUGUUUGUUUCCGUGAAAAUGACAUUUGAAUAGAUGCCAUUCAUUAUCAAAUACAAAUACUAUCUUUUACUACAACAAAUCUUUAUUCUUAUCGGAAUAAUAUCAUGCUAACAAAUGUAUAAGGGCAUUGUUUCAAUGAAUUCAUAUAAAGAAAUAUUAUCUUUAAAAUAUAAAUCAAAUAUAUAUAAAAGUAAUAAUAAUUACAAAAUAUUUUAAACAAUGUCUUAAACAUACUAUUCUUCGAUAAAUGUUUUUAAAAUCCCUAAAAUAAUAAGGACUAUUCUUUAAAGUCACGCAAAAUGUAGAGACUAAAAAUGUAUUUAAUCCUAAAAUAAUUGAGACUCACUAACUGCCACAUCAACAUUCUGUUAGAGAAUUAACAGCAGGGACUAGUUUUGAUAACGGAGAUAAAAUGUGAGGAUUUUAAAAAUAUUUAAUGAAAUAUAGACUAUUCUUCAAAGGGGCGCAAAAUGUAAGGACUAUGUUGUAUAUUGGCUUCAAAUUUGUUGUUUGGAAGAACAGAGAAAUCGUGACACGAUUUCAUCAACGUGUCACGAUUUUCAGGCAGGGAGCAUGGUUUCUCAGGGUGCUCAAUUGUGUCACGAUUUUGGGAAAACGUGACACGAUUUUCAAACUUGCUGGAUACGUUUUAAGGAUAAGGUUGGUCGUACCUUGGGUCGUACACACCAAUCGUGCCACGGUUUGGAAAACGUGACACGAUUUUGACAGCUGAAGACUGCUAUAUAAGUGUUCUUGUGCAGAUUUUGAAGAAGAGCUGGAAGAGAGAGAAACUUAGAUUACAAAGGAGGUAACUUUAGGGUUUAUUAUCUUUGUAGUGAGGAUCUCUUGGGUUGAGAAACAUUGUAAACACCUUGGGUAGUUAGAUUUCACCAUUAGAAGGAUCAAAAAGCUUCCUUUUGUGUUUUCUCUUAGGAUUCAUAUUGUGAGAGUGGGUGACACAGAUGGGUAGAAAUUAGGUCUUGUUCUUGUGUAAGCUUGUAAGCUAAUUUCUUGUAACUCUUUUGUAACACUUUCAUCAUAGUGGAUUGGAGAGUUGUUCUCUCCCCCAUAUUAGGUCAUAUUGGACCGAACUGGGUCAACAAUCUCGGUGUGUUUAUUCAUUUCUUUCUUUGCUUAUCUUUGUGCUUUGAUUAUGCUUGCAGUGUUGCUCUACACUUAGAUCUAGGUAUAUUUUCUUGUUGUUGUUGCUUGGAGACACUUUACACAUUGAUUACCACUUCUUUUGCUCCACACAUCUUUGUUAUUCAUGGGUGUGAUUUUUACCGAAAUUCACAACAGACUAAAAACAUAUUUAACCCAUGGUUAGCACAAAUGACUGUGAUUCACAUUUCCAUAUCCAUGGAUAUGAACAAUUAGACUCGAUUGAUUUCGUAUCAUUUGAAGGAUAUGAAUUGCGCAUUUGAAAAUUUUCCAGUGUGCCAAUCACCGAUCAAGGUGAAAGGACUUAUGACCUAUUUGAACUAUAUACAUGUAAGACUUAUAUUGAUCAAUAAACAUAUCUUUUAGAUAUAUUUUAUUUCUCUUACUUCAUCUACAUUACUAACAUGCUUAGUGGAUAUUGAUAUGCGUAUUUGACACAAGGAAGAAGUCCUUGAAUUUGUUCAAAGAGUUCGAAAAGAACAACUUUGAAAAGUAUAAAGAUCGUAUAAAUAGGUCAUGAUGGUAAAUAUUUAACUAAAGAGUAUAAUAAUUAUUUAGAUAGUGUCAUAAAUAAAAAGUAAAAAGUAAAAGGUUUGUGGAUCUAGUACAUAAAUAAAAGGGUUAAAUAUGUUUUUGGUCCCUACAUUUUGCCCUCUUUUGACAAAUAGUCCUUACAUUUCAAUAAAUGUUUUUAAAAUUCCUACAUUUUUCAUCCGUUAGCACAAAUAGUCCAUGUUGUCAUUAAGGCUUAAAUGCGCUUUUGGUCCCUUAAGUAUUUAUUUGGUAUCACUUUGGUCCCUUAACUAAAAAAUAAGAUUGUUUGAGCACUUUUGGUCCCUUCUGUUAAAUAAAUUCAAAAAACGUUAGGGUUUGUAUUGUUCAUCUUCUUCCUUCUCCUUCCAUCCUCUUCUUCAUGAUCUUCAUCAUCAAAAACACACCAACCCAGAAGAAAAAAAAAGUCUUUUUCAUCAUAAUCUUCAUCAAAUCUAUAAACAUAAUCAAUUUCAUAACUCAAUCAAUAACCAAUUUUUCCAUCAUCAUCAUCUAAACCCUUUAUCAUCAUCAUCAUAAUCAUCACCAAUCCUUUACUAAGACCCAUUUUUGGAUCUAAACCCAUCAUCAUCGUAAACUCACCUGGACUAGAGUAAGACAUACAGAAAAUAGCAGUAAAAAAAACUAGACAAACUAGAAAAUUGCAACAACAACAAGGGACUCAACAGAAGCAAGAGUUAACAGCACAAACUCCUCACUACUCAUAACUCAAUUCCCCUUUUUUCGUUACACUCUUCCAUUUUCUUCUUCAAUUUUUUUUUUUAAUUUUUCUCAUUCCCCACAAGGAAAAAUAUUCCAAAAUUAAAUCAAAGUCAAUUUUCCGUCAAUCAAUGCAACACUUUUACAUUUUCACACUUUCUCUCUCUCUUCUCUUUUAAAGAUGAAAACUUUCAUCUUUUGGUGAAACUGAAAGCGAAAUUUGCGAUCUGGGUAUGUGGAUUUGAAUACGUUUGUGUGUGUUUGUGAGUUUGAAUAUGUUUUUGAGAUUUGGGGUUUCAGAUAUGAUGAUUUAGUUUGUGUUUGAAGCACAUAGAAACAAGAGGAAUACAUUUGUUGAUGUAUGAUUGUUUUUCUGGGCUGGUGGUUCGUGAUUUGGGAAAGAGGAAGAGAAGGUUCCAUAUUUAGUAAGGUUUGGUUAAGGUUCUGGAUUUGGAUUUUGUGUGUGUUUAUGGGUUUGAACGAAGAAGAUGAUGAUGAUAAGGGGUAGAGUUAAAUUGAAGAUGAAUUUUUUUUUGUUUUUUUGUUUCUGGGUUGAUGUGUUUUUGAUGAUGAAGAUCAUGAAGAGGAUGGAAGGAGAAGGAAGAAGAUGAAUAAUAUAAACCCUAAAGUUUUUUUGAAUUUAUUUAACGGAAGGGACCAAAACAUGUAACGGAGAUCAAGAUAAAGUAUCCAAACAAUCUUUUUUUUACUUAAGGGACCAAAUCGAUACCUAAUAAUAACUUAAGGGACAAAAAGAACAAUUAAGCUUAAUAAUUAACGAGAAGCUGACAUGGCAGCUAGUGAAUCCCAUUUUUUUAAGGGUUAAAUAUGUUUUUGGUCUUUAGAUUUUGCGUGAUUUUGAAGAAUAGUCCUUACAUUUCAAUAAAUGUUUUUAAAAUCCCUACAUUUUUCCACCGUUAACAAAAUUGAUCCAUGUCGUCCAUUUUCGCUGACAGGACAAAUGGAACAUGCCACAUAGAUGCCACCAAGGACAUUUUAGUAAUUUCCAGUAAAAUGCAAGCGCAUAAUUGAUUUUUCAGUUGAACCUUCUCUUUAGAGCUGUCAAAAUGGGCCGGGCCGUAUGGGCUGGCCCGUUUAGCCCGAUUAAUUAUAGGGCUUGGGCCUUAAAUAUUGAGUCUGAAUUUUAAUAGGGCUUUUUAACCCGACCCUAAAAAGGCCGCUACCCGUUAGGGCUAGCCCGAACGGGCCGAAGGUAGCCCGCUCGCCCGCAUAACAAAAAAAAUCCUAUAAAUUAUAUAUAUUUUUCAAAUAAUUCUUUACAUAGUUGAUAUCAAAGUAAUAAAUAAAAGUGAAAAUUCAAUGAAUUAACACAAAUAUACAUAUAAUAUAAAAUUAUAUUUACUCGUUUCGUUAUUUAUAAUUUUAAAGAUCGAAUAUAUAUAUAUAUAUAACCAUAACGUAUCUAAUUUAUUUAAAAUUGAUUUCCUCGCCGUGUAUAUAACCAUAACGUAUCUAAUUUAUUUAAAAUUGAUUUCCUCGCCGUUUAAGUUUACGACGUUUGUACGAAAAUGUUUACAAUUUAUUUUUGUUCUAGACAUUAUUUAAACAUAUUAAAAAUAUUAUUUAUAAAAAAAAAAUUAUAUGAGUAUUUUAUAGUACUUUUUUUUUUAUAAAAAAUAUAUAAUUUUUAACACGAGCCGGUCCGUUAAGCGCACGGCCCGUGUAGGGCCGGGCUCGAGUAGUAUAUUUCAAGCUGUUUUUCAACCGGGCUUUUUGGCCCUGCCCGAUAAAGCCUGAAGCCCGUUAGGGCCGGCCCUAAACGGGCCGGGCCGCCCGUUUUGACAGCUCUACUUCUCUCUCAUCUUCAUCCUCUCUCCGUGUUCGCUCUAUUUCUCCCCAACCACCAUCAGCCUCACACACCCAUCCUCAACCACCACCGUCCUCUCCACCAUCAAUUUGCUCAUAUUUGUUCUCUCUCUUGUCACUGCCAGCGACUUCGUCUUCUCCCUCACGCUGUUAGGGAACCAUUCAAACAGCAAGUGACAAUGACGGACCAGAUCGGAGUUAAAGUUGAAAUUUUUGUGAGUAAAGUUUUGGGUAAAGGUGAAUUAGGCCCUUGCACUUUACUAAAAUGUCCUUGGUGGCAUCUAUGUGGCAUUUUCCGUUUGUCCGGUCAGUGAAAAUAGACGAUUGGAACAAUUUUGUUAACGGUGGAAAAAUGUAGGAAUUUUAAAAACAUUUAUUGAAAUGCAAGGGCUAUUCUUCAAAGUCACGCAAAAUAUAAGGACCAAAAACAUAUAACCCUUAAAAAAAAUGGGGUCCAUUAGCUGCCAUGCCAGUUUCUCGUUAAUUAUUUGAUAGUAGGGACUAUUUGUGCUAACGGGGGAAAAAUGUAAGGAUUUUAAAAAUAUUUACUAAAAUGUAAGGACUAUUUUUUAAAGAAAAGUAAAAUAUAGGGACCAAAAACAUAUUUAACCCUAAAUAAAAAAUAAAAAGUCUUACACCACAAACAAAGUUGUCGACGACAAGAGCGGUUACCAUCGAGACUCACACACGUCAAAAGCCAUGUAUAACUGUACGGUGUCAAAGAUAGUUACUAGACUAGGACACUUGGCAAAUAUGAAUACUAGAGAAGAUUACCAUAUUUUUCCAUAAGUAGGGGGCAAAUUCUAUGGUACACCUAAUAAAUUUGGGUCUAUCGGUACACCAAGUCGUAAAAUUAAUAAUAAAUGAGUUGUUGUUUUGAAGAAAAAUAAUUAUUUUUUAUCAUUGACAACUAAGAUAAUUAAAUUUUCUAUACCAAAAGUUUCGACGAAAUAAAAUUUAAUUUUUAAGAAUUUUUAUUACUCAUAACAAUGAAUAUUGAUUAUUUUUUAUGACAAAAUAUAAAUUUUGUAAUAUGAUCCUUAUAAACAAUGAAAUGAUGGUUUUUUUAUGAAAUGAUAUUUUUUAAAAUAUAAAUAUUGACAAAUACCUUUUUAUUUCUUUAAAGUGAUCUUUAAUUUAUAUAUUUUGUGAAACAAGAGUACCGGUACAUUCAAAAUUGUGAGUGUACAAUAGAAGUUCCCUAAGUAGGGAUCUUGGAGCAUUAUAAUAAGGUAUGUUUGAUGCAUUCAUAAAGAGAAAUGAUAUUUGAACAUCUAUUUUGUGACAAUUUUCUCUCUCAUACUCACAUUACUUUUUACUUUAUCUCUCUAUUGCUUUGGUUUUCGUGUAAAUACCUAUUUUUUCUUUGUAAAUUAUGAUUGUUUCAAAAGUUAUCAACCAAAUAGUUGUUCAAAUAACACUCCUCGUUCAUAAAUCACAUCAAACACAUAAAAUUAUUUUCAAUUAUUUGUACAUGAUUAAGUAUACCAUUUUUUUUUCUUUUCUUUGUUUAAUUUUCAAGUCAUUUUUUUUUACUUUAAUUUCCUUGCACAUUUACUUAUUCCGCAAUUUAAUUUUCCUUCACAAUUGCAUUUAUGCACUUUCAUUUUCAUGCACAUUUAUUUUUAAGUCUUUUACUUUUCAUUUACAUGAACUUUACUUUCAUAGCUUCGCUUCUUUGCUCACUACUUCUUUUUCAAAACCUUGAACAUCGAGUUCAUUGUAUUGCAGAAAGUGUUUUUAUAAAGAAAAAAAUAUACAUUUUUAUGCAUUAAAAACACACAAAAAGAAUCUCAUGUUCGAGUAUUCAAAGACAACAUCAGUGUUGUUAAUUUUUACGACAAAUGUGAUCAACAAGACAAGACAACACAUAUACUUAGGGGUGGGAAUACGUCAUACCGAGUUAGGCUUUGCGAGACCUGAAUCUGACAUGUCAAAAAAUUUAAGGUCUAAUUUUGGCAUGUGGCCUAUCAUAAGCUUGUGUUUCUAGGCAUGAUCCUAACCUUUUAAAAGUCUAAUAAGGCCUGUUAGCCAGUUUAAAAACCUAUUUAUAUGAACAUUUUUAAAUAAAUAAUUUAAUCUAAGACGACUUUAAGUAGUUAUGAAGUUCAAAGGUGUGAUCUAAGUUUAAUUCAUAUGUGAUCUAAGCCUGAUAUGAACAUCUUUAAAGCCAGUUAGUUUGCUAGCAUAGUUUUAGAUUGUCAACAAACCAAAGUCAAUCCAAUUAAAUAAAUGAAUUUAGACUUAAGUAUGUAUUUCAUCCUUGCAAUUAGGGUUCGUUUAAAAAUUGGUCCUUAUAAUCAUUAAUCCUGGCAAUUUACCCUUGCAUUGUUUAAUCAUUUAAAAUUUCAUCCCUCUCCCCACUUAAUCACUACCACGUCACUAAUUUGAUGACGUGGCAAUCACUGUCACACAUAAAAUUCCAAUUUUACCCCUAGGUUUCCGAUUCUUUCUUCAAUAUUUUGUCCUCUUCUUAAGGGCAAAAUUGGAAUUUCAUGUGUUGCAGUGAUUGCCACGUCAUCAAAUUAGUGACGUGGCAGUGAUUAAGUUGGUCAAAGGACGACAUUUUAAAUGAUUAACGAUUGCAAGGCUAAUUUGCAAGGAUUAGCGAAUACAGAAACCAAUUUUUAAACGACCCUUAAUUGCAAGGAUGAAAUACAUAUUUAAGCCAUGAAUUUAUGAUUUAAGAUGACCUUGUUCAACCGAAUGAUCCAAUCCAAUAGGUUUGUUCGAUUAAUGAAUUUAUAAUUCCAAAUCCACAAACCAGCAAACCUAACCUGAUUAAAAAGGGGAGGAGAUGAGGGAGGGAGAAGUUCCAACAGGCAAACCAAUGACCACUUUGAACAUAUAAGAUUUCAAUUUUUUUCUUGUUUCUUUCUUCUACUGUUUUAGGUUCAUGUCCUCUUAAUUUUUAUUAAAAUUGAAUUGGUUUAAGUCUCUUGAGAUUAUGAGUAUUUUAAAAACGUCCUAUUUUAUUUUUUAAUGGACUAAAGUCAAAAUUUGCUAUAUUUUUAAGGAUAGAAAUACUUAUUUAACUCUUCUUAUUAUGAUAUCUUUUUAACUUCAAAAACCAUUUACACACUUUAUUAAGAUGAUUACUUGUUCAUAUUUACUCUUAUUAAUAUCAUUUGAAAGUUUGACUGAUUCGAUUGAUAAGAAGUUGAUUCAUCCUCUGUAAGAGUGCGAGUUUAACUCCCGAUGUCAGCGUAAGGAUUUGAUGGAUAGAUUAUCUAUAAGUAUAUCAUGUGCGCUCUUAGAGUUUUGAAACAUAGCAUGAUCCGGGUUAGCCACCAAGAUCCAACUCACUUAACUUUAAUGUGUGUGCGUGCGCGUGUAAACAACGCUAACCAAACAAUUGGACUCAAAUGGUCAAUGAUUUCAUCAGAGAACGAAUUGUUUGAAAGAAUUUGGAUUCAAAAUCCUGAUUACCAGGACCUCAUUCCCCUAAGAUUCGGAGGGUUAAUACAAAAAAAGAAGAAAAAAAGUUCAUUUACCUAAAUUACCCCUUAUUUUAUUAUUUAAUUGUGGCAAAAUUACACUUUUGGUCCCUUAACUUUAUUUUAGGUAACAAUUUAGUCCUUUAUCUUUUUUUCAUUUCAAUUUUGUCCUUUUGAUCCAUUUACAUAUGAAUUAUUAAGCUUAAAAUUCAUGAUUUUAUUUUCUUAUGGUCUUUCAGUCUUCAAAUCUAUGAUCCUUGUCUAUGUUUGCAUAAGAAUAUUAAAUUUGAAGCUUGAAAAUGUAUAUGAAAAUGGACAAAAAGGACCAAAUUGAAAUGAAAAAAAGAUAAAUGACCAAACUGUUACCUGAAAUUAAGUUAAGGGACUAAAAGUGUAAUUUUGCCUUUAAUUGUAUAAAAGAAGAAUCUUUAAUUAUAAAUGACAUUUUUUAGACAUUGUCAUUAAACAUGAUGAAAAAAUUAUUCUAAAAAUUUUAGAGUGAGACGAUGGUACCACAAUCCAUGUAAAGAAAGACUUUACUGGUAAAAAUAUUUACAAAUAUAUUUAAUUUUUUUUUUUUCAUGAACGCUAAUGAGACUCAAAUUUUAAACCUAUAUUUUUUUACCAUUAUAUUCGAUCAACCUUUCCAAGUAAAUUACUAAUUUUAGUGUGUACCAUUAAAAUUUGACAACUAUCUUUUGGUUGGAAGGCAUGAUUAAACCUAUAUACACCUUGAAUGAUUGCUUUCAAAAUUGCUCCUAAUCAUUCCCUUAAAAAAAAAAAAAAAUUGCUCCUAAUCCAAACAGCCAAAAAUACACGUUAAGGGAUAUCAUUGAUUUUUUUUGUUUAAGAAAAAGGAUAUAAUCGAUUACUAGUUGUUCCAUCCAUAUUCUAUUAUAUGUAAAUCGGAAAAAAAAGUAUUUAUAUUUUUUUAUGUCAUUUUAUAAUAUCAAUGUUUUUUUUUCCUGUCAUAAUAUUUAUCAUGUAUUGUAUUAUUAUAUCUUCUUUCAUUUAUUUUAAUGUCAUUAAUGAAAGUAAUUUUGUAAAACCGUUCAUAAUUUUUCUCAUUAAUACAUAAUAAUUAAGUACAUUUGCAAUAUGGUCUCCCACAUUAACCGCCUUAGGAUGUGGGAUUGACAAGUUAUGUAUCACAUGUUUAUAGGCACGCUAAUUAGGUAGAUGGCUAGUUAGUAAGUUUCACAUUUGAAUCACUCCUACGAAGAUUGUGAUAACGAGUGAAUUGUCAACUUAACGAAAUAUCAUAAUAGUCUUUGAAUUUGUAAAAUGUCAAACAAUUUAGUCCCUCUGUCCAAUUGAAGUGUUAACGGUGCUGACAUGAUCGUUAAUCUCUUACAUGUCAAAUGUCACAUAAGCAAGGAUUAAUUUGAUCGAUAGUGACCAAAUUUUCCAAGGACGAAAUUGAUUGAUUUGAAUAAAAUGUUCUUUCCUCCCCAAAAGCUAUUUCUUUCUUCCCCAGCAGGUCUUUUUUCCCCAAAUAUAUAAAAUUGGAACCCUAAUUUUACAAUCUUUAAUCUACCCUAAAAAAUUCCCAAAAUUCCUUCCGAUAAUUAGCAGUAACGUUGUUCCCAAUUCAAAAAACUUCAAACCCUAAUUUUUUUAUUGAAUCCAAAAACUAGAAUCCCCAAAAUUUCUUCAAGCAAAACUGUUCAAAUUGAAUUCGAAAUGAUGCGGGUGGGCAUAUGGACAAAAAGAGUUAUCAAAGUCAAGCUCCAUGUUUAAUGGUGCUGUGAGAGUGCUUGAAUGUUGGUGUCGUAGAAUUUGUGCUGCAAGAAAAGCCAACACUCUCCACAACCUAGAAAGGUCUUUAUAUGCUUGCCCUCUGGCAAAAGUCUGUUUAACCAUUCUUGUGUGACGUAAGAAUGGUUUGAUCAACGUACACCUUACUGAUUCUGAAUUUUGUUUUGUACAUGAUGAAGUUGAAAAUUGUGAAAAUUUUGUGUGGGUUGAUGAAGCUGAAGAACUAGGUUACUUUAAAAAUAUUGGAAUUGGUGCUGAUUAUGGAAGAAUGACAAGAUUCAUGGGGAAGUUAAGUCCAUGCUACUGUAUUUUUCUAGGUGUGUGUAGAGUUGUAAUGAAAAUAGAUUGAAGAUGAAUGAAAUGUAGCCUUUUUAUAAUAAUUUUACCAUCAUAAGAGUCCUUGAAUUAUUUGUCUAACGUACAUUAUAUUAAAAAAUCAUCAAAUAAGUUCUUGAAUUAUAUAAACAUAAAUCAAUUUGAUCCUUGAAUUAGCCUCGGCAAUGUCCCACAAACAUAACUUAUCAACAUCCAUUUUUUCCCAAACACAGAAUUCACCACGAACAUAUUGCAGCCUCCGAUACUCAAACAACAUCAAAAUGCAAACCCUAAAAUGCAAACACUUUUGAAAAACUAUUUUAAUCAAUCAGUAAUUUCAUUCACUACUAAGUUAAUCUUCAUCAAUUUUAGCAACCAACCAGAAAAAAAAAAUUAAGUCUUAAACUGAAAACCAUAAAAUGAAUAAUCUAAACAACCGUCUCAAAAACACAACACUCACAAACAAAUAACAAAGCAAGCAUCAAAUGAAGUUUGAAGUUGAAAACGAAAUGAUAAAAACGGACAAAAUAUGGGUGAAAACUAACAGAGAAAAAGAAAAAGAAGAGGAACGACAUUACCUUAACCACAGAGGAAUUUUUCCUUAAAACAUCCAACGUUGAUCACCGAAUAUGAUGGUGAUUUUGGAGAGGUGAAGAUGAUGAAGAUUUUAGCAGGAAGGAGAAAGGUCAAGGACGUGUUUGAUGUGAAAAGAGUGAAAUCUGAGGGUGAAAAGUAAGGGUAAAAGAGGGGUAAAAUUGAAAAAACAGAAGAAAAAAAUUAAAGUAGAAAAGUGAAAACUGAAAUUUUCAUCAUUUCCAUCAAAUUGGUCCUUGUACACGUGGCUUCCUUGUUGACACGUGUACAAGACAACACAACAUGCAACAAAGCAUUUGGAUGAAAUGACCAUUUUGAUGGACGUCUGAAAAAUUUAAGGACUAUUUUGAUAUUUUGUUAAAUUAUGGGACGAAUUUGACAGAUUCGUACAAAUUCAUGAACGAAAUUGAUGAUUCACUCAUUGUGAUAACCUUCAAUGGUAGAAUUAGACAGAUAUUUAUUGUAGUCGUCGUGUUCAGUUGUAAUAUAAUGUAACGGCAUCCAAUUUAUGGAAAGAAAAAAAAAAGCAUUUAAUAAAAUAUUGUGCUUGGUAAAAAGUAAAAAAGGAAAAGAUGAAAAUCCAACCAAAUUCCAAAACGAGUGAAAGCGAAUCCUCCAGACCAAAUUCUGACAACACUUUUAUUAUUAUUUGUUUUUGGAAACAAAAAAAGGGAUGAUUGAAUAUAUAAUAAUAAAAGACAAUAAAUUGAAUAUUUUAUAUUUUUUUAUUCUUCUCAUAAAGAUUUUCUCUGUCUUAGAAAAGAUGCGUUUGACUUUCUAACUCUUUAAAAACGCCCACAUAUAAAAAACCAAAGGCUAAAUACUAAGCCUUACCUGAAUCAUUCAUUCAUUCAUUCAUUCAGCCUUCCUAAUACUUAGCCACAUCUAUUGCAUGCUCUCUUCUUCAUCUCCUUCUUAUUCUCUUCUUUCAUUCAUCUCUAAAUCUCACAAACACCAAACCAAACUCUCUCUCACACACACAAUAUAACAUCAACAACAACCUUAACCUUUUCAAAAUACAUCUUUUGUUAUGGCUGUUGAUGCUAGUUACAUGAAUCUAUUGCCUUCUAGCCAUUUACUCGCAAACAGGUACUAUAUUUUUGUCUUUUAAGGUUUGAGUGCAUGUUUGUAUCGUCGGUGAGUUUGUCAGAAUCACGAUGAACCCACCGUGUUGGUGAGUUUGUCAGAAUCAUAAUCACGGUGACCUACCUCGAUUUCAGUUAAAACUAUGCUUUGUAGGUUUUACAAAAUCAGGGUGCCACCGUGAUUUUUUUAAACUCGCCGUGAAUCCAAACACACGCUUAAUCGUUAGAAUCCAGCGACGAAUAUUUCUAACGAUUAACUACAAAAAUAUUUACCUUUAAAACGAUUAUUUUUUAAAAUAUUUUUGCUAAUACAUAUUUUUUUUUUUUGUUUUUUUUAUACAGGGAAAUAAUCAAAUCUAAUCAGCAUCAUUAUCAACAACAACAACAACAACAAAUGUUGAACUCUGAAUUAUACAAUGUUCAGAUGGAUUCUGCUUCUGCUGUGCCUCUUCCAACAACAAUGCAUGAAUCUAUGUUACCAUUUUAUCAAUCCAAUGUUUGUGAUCCAAACAGAGCUGAUAGUGGUCUUACUUACAACAAUCCUCUUCAAAGAAAACGUUCAAGAGAUUUUUCAACUGAAUUGGUUUCUCUACCACCUCAUCAAAAGAAUAGAGUAAUCUCAUCUGAAUCAUCAUCAUCAUUUGUUGAUCAAGUUCUCUAUCAAUUUCAGAACCAGCAAUCUGAUAUUGAUCGCAUCCUUGCUCAUCAUGUAAUUUUUUUAUCCUUCACUUGUUUAAUUACUCUUUUAAUUAUUAUUUUUAAAAAAAUAUUUUUCAAAAAGAAAAAGGAAACAGUUGUUCAAACUUUAAUGUUUCUUUCAAGUACCUAAAUUGAGUAACUGAUAAAGGGUGUGAGAAAUUUUCAAACUUUGAAUGAAAAUAUUAAUGGUGUGUUUUAUAUUUCCUAAAAGGUAGUUAAUCCGUUUUUUCUUUAUUUCUUUUAAAUUAUGGAGUGGGGUGUUAAUGAUUUUGUGUAAUAAUUGUAAUUUAAGUUUUUUUUUAACAUGUGGAGAAAACUUAAAUAGGGUACUAUUCUUUUCCGUUUUUUUUUUUUUUUUGAGGAAAUAUUCUUUUCCGUUUUGAUUACCAUAAAAAUAAAUAAAUUAUAUUUGGUGGUUGAAAAUAUAUACUAAUUUUUUAUAAAAGGAUAGUUUGAGAAAUACUAUGUUUUUUUAAUUAUACAUUUAGAAAAAUUAAUUGUGAUUAAUUAUUAUUUUUAAUAUAGUGAGUUUCGAUAUUUUCGCUAAUAUUUUUAUGGAAAGAUUUUUUCUGAUAGUAAUUGACAAUAGUCAGAAAAUAUUACCUGUACUAUUUAUGUGUAAUUAAUAUUUUUUGUUUUUUUGUGUUUAAACAGAAUGAGAAAGUGAGAAUGGAGUUAGAGGAACAAAAAUUGAGGCAAUCAAGGAUGUUAGCAUGCAUGAUUCAAGAGACAAUAGCAAAGAAACUUAAAGAAAAAGAUGAAGAGAUUCAAAGAAUAGGGAAGCUAAAUUGGAUGCUUCAAGAAAAAGUCAAAAGUUUAAGUGCUGAAAAUCAGGUUUGGAGGGAGCUAGCACAAACAAACGAAACCACAGCCAAUUAUUUACGUAACAAUUUGGAACAAGUUAUGGCACAUGUCAAUGAGGGACAUCAUCAUGCCGCGGUGGCCGAGGAUGACGCUGAAUCGAGUUGCGGGAGUAAUGCUCCGGCUGACGAAGGUGAAGACACCGCGGCGACUGUCGGUGGUGGUGGUUUGGUUAGGAUGUGUAAGAAUUGUGGGGUGAGGGAAUCAGUUGUGUUGUUAUUACCAUGUAGGCAUUUGUGUCUUUGCAAUGUGUGCGGGUCCACUGUUCGUAAAUGUCCAGUGUGUGACUCUGGCAUGGAUGCUAGUGUGCAUGUUAAUCUCUCUUAGGACAACAAAUUUACAUUAGGGUUUAGUUUAGGCCAUUACAAAUCAGACAAAAAAAUUAGGGUUAGUUUUUUAGUUUUUAUCAAUAUGUUAUUACAGUUAGGAAAAAUAAAUAAAUAGAUAUUAUAAAUCUUUUAUUUUUUUAUGAAUAGAAAUAUUUUAAUUUGUUUAUACAUAUUUCUGUGUUUUUUUUGUCUUUUAGAUAAAUUAUUUGAUUUUGUUUAAUACAUAGUUACUGUAUUAUAUUUGCCGGAUGCUAACAUUAAUUUACGUUAUCAAUAUUUAAUCCAGUCAAAGGUUUUUGGUUUAAAUAUACGUCAAAAUAAAAUAUAAAAAUAAAGCUUCUGGUAGCAUUGCAAAAAUAGAAGGAAAUUUUUUUUGACAAUAAAUUUGAAAUAUUAUAAUCACAAUUUUUUGAAGGAAAAGAAAAUUGUAAUUAUAAUCGCCAUGUCAAUGCGUGUAAAGAGAAUUAAAAAACAGUCCAUGACUUCAAUUAGAAUAAAAUAACGGAUAAGGAGAUAAUAUCUAGACAUUUAUAUCUGGUCAAAACAAAUAAAAUAUGAAGUAUUUAUUCUGCGAGCUGAGUAUCAAAAUAAAAAAUAAUAAUGGGUACAAGUAUCAAAAUAUAUUUUAAUAAUUCAAAGGAGGUGAUAUCCAUUUGUUAAUUGUUUAUACACAAUGCAUAUUUUUGUUUAUGAUAAGACCAAUUAUAUUUAUUACUAUGCGUAUGUCCUAGGUAAUAUUCUCCCCUUCAAAUUUAAAAUAUUUUUUUUUCAAAGUAUAUGCGAUUAAUGGACGGAUAAAAGAAUAAAGAAAGAUUUUAUAUAUAUACCAUCACAUAUUCACACACACAAAAACACACAUAUAUCUUUGUUAAAAAAAUACACACACAAUUCAGAAGUCAUAGCUCAACUGGCAAAAAUGUUAAAAUUGUUAGGCCGAAUGUCAUGACCAAGAUUCGAACACCACUUGUGCACGUAUAUAUCAUUUACGAGUUAUGUAUUUAUAUUAUUUUUUAAUAAAGAAAAAGGUAAAGUGUCAAACUUGCCCAUAUCUUUUUUUUGUCAUAAAACUUGUCCAUAUGUGAUGAGUAAUAAAUAAAUAAACCUUAAUUUGAGUGAAUAGUUAUUAACGUUGGAAGGAUUUUAAAGGAGAAAAAUAGGAGUGUUUUUGGACAAUAGUGAAAAGUGGUGGGUGUGAAUAGAAUAUAAAGGUAAAAGGACAGUGAAGGGUGUGAUGAUAUGGUCGUAAGUGGGUAUCAAUUUUUAUGGAAACGGCUAAGACGAGUGGUUUGAUAUUUGUUUGGUUUGAUUCAUUAUUUUGGCUUGGAAAGGGAGCAAAAGUCAUAAAAGUUGAAACACACCUAAAAUCCUUAUAAAGUGAAAGCAAACAAAGUAAUUUAGUCCUUAGAGUGGAAACGAGUAUUUUUUUUCAUUUUUCAUAGCUAGCAUAGCAUGGGCAAAGUAUAAAGUUUUAAUGUCAAAUCAGCAUCAUUGUUUCUUGUACCACACUGCCUUGGCUUGCACCAUUAUGUAUGGGAAUAGGAAUAGGAAUAGGAUGCUUCCUCUCUCUCUUUUUAUUUUGUUACUCACCCUUUUACCUCUUUAUUUUCCCCCUUUUCUUUUUCUAGUAAAAUUCUUGUCCCCACUCAUCCAAUGCUUAUUAUUGCACUUUCACAACCUUGCUUAAAAUAACAAUAUUUUUAAGGGAUAUUAUGUUAGAUCGUUGGAUAUAGUCUCUUGAUCCCGAUGGUGAGUACAUGGUGUGGGGGUGUGUACCGUCGUCUCACUACUGACAAUUCUCAUCAUGCGGUGGUGGUGUUGGAUUCUGUUUGGCAUCAACAUGUUCCUUUAAAAGUUUCGGUGUUCGUUUGGCGGAUGCUUAGAAAUCGAUUACCUACAAAGGAGGUAUAGUUUUCCAAGAUGCUCAACUUUGGUGGGUGCGGUCAAAGAUACUAUGUGACUUGUCUUUUUUUUGGAUUGUAUGUUGUUUAGUUCAUUAGGGCAUCAAGUUCGUCAAUGACCGUGUUUUGGCAAUUCAUAUGGUACAUCAAAAGCAAAAACUUCAAUUAUAUUUCUUAUUUGAUGUGCUUGCACUUGGAUCAUUUGGAAGGAAAUGAAUAGUAAAAUUUUCAAUAACAAAUAAUGCUUGACUAUUAAGCUUUUAGAUAAUGUUAAGUUCCUUUCUUUCUGGUGGUUAAAGACAAAAUUCACAAACCUUGCUUCUGACUAUCAUAGGUGGUGGCUUAGCCCUCUACACUGUAUGGACAUUGACUGAUUUCUGUUAUUUUUUCUAUUCUAACUUUGUUGGAUGACUUUGUAUCUUUUGUUCUCUUCUCUGGCAUGCCUUGUUAGGGGUGUAAGUGGUUCGGAUGAAACCGAAAAUCCAAACCGAAAAAGUAUCUGACCUUGUUUGGUUCGGUUCUCGGUUUUUAAUUUUGAGAUCUAAUGAACCAAUGAACCAAUCACACACUUAUGAUUAAGCUCAAAAUUAAAGUCCAACAUAAAAUACUCCUUAAUUCAUAUUCACUUUCUCCCAUCAUCAUCUCAUCUCAUUACUCACGGUCUAUUUCGUUUCUACUAAAAAAGAACACUAGCCGCAGGUCACACCUAACCUAUCGUUCCACUUCGCCUCAAGGAUCUUCCAUAUCUUAUUAGUUUUUUCAUGUUAGUUAUACAAUGUAGUUUGUAAAACAGAGAACAUGGAAAACAAAAUUCUAUCAAAUAUUUGAGUACGUUGUAUGCAUGAAAUACAAAAUUAUGAAAAUAUAGAUUUCUUUUAAUUUGUAUUUUUAAAUAAACCGAUCAACUGAACUGAUCCAAACCGACUAGUUUGGUUCGGUUUCUUUUUUAAAAAACAGCCGAACCAAACCAAACUGAUGAAGAUUUCUUUGGUUCGGACAUUUUUUUUGACCAAAAACCGAUCCAAACUGAACUGUUACACCCCUAUGCCUUGUGCUAGGUUGAGCGUAGUUUGGUUAUAAUAUAUUUCAUUUUGACUUCGUAAAAAAACAAUAUUUUUAUUGAUAAAUUGGAAAUGUUAUAAAACUACUUAAGUUGUGGAGAAAAAAAAUUAAAGACAUGGUAAGAGACCAAAUUAAUAUUUUACUAUAUCUUUAAUUUAUUUAUUUUUACAAAUACAUGACUUUAAUUUUUUGGUCACAACAUAGUAGUAUUUUUCAAACUUUUCGAAUUUAAUAAUAAAAAAUUAUUAUUUUAUAGUAAUAAAUAAAAUUGGCCUAAAAAAAUAUUUGGUCUCUUACAAAAUCAGCGCUGGAUAUUAUUUAUUACAUUGUCUUUAAUGUUUUGUUAACCACCUAGUAGUAAAAAUAAUAAUAAAAAACUUAUUUUACAAAUGAUAUAUAAAAUUGGUCUCUUUGUAUACAACAAUAAAAUUGUCUCUAACAAAAUUAGAGACUUCUUUAUUUUAUUUUAUCUAAUUUUCAGUCAAUAAUUCAACUCUUUCUGGUAAUCAAUAUCAAAAACUUAUUCAUCCAUAUGAUAUUAAGCUCUAUACAAACGAUAUAGAACUAAAAAUAUAAUUUUGCUACUUAGUAAUCGAUAAUAUCGUCUUUGGGCAAGGCUUAGCUCAAGUGACAAAUAUAGUUAUUGCUAAACUAGAUAAUUGAACUAAUGACGUCAUAGUUGUGCAUGUGAGUUUGAGACGGUGAUUGUCAUCUAUAAACAAAACAAUACAUAUUUUCUUUCUCUUUCUGUUGUAUAUUCGUCUUCACUCAUGAUGUUGUUUUUUGGAUACUCCAACAUACUAUCCGGUUUAAGAUCUAUUGUUUUUAGGGAUUUUAUAGUUUCUUUGUUAUACUUCUUUGCUUGUGUUUUGAUAUUUCUUAUUUGUUUCAAGUUUGUAAUAGUAAGUGUUUGUUGAAAUGCUUAAGAAUGACUCGCUUAAUUUGUACUAUAUUUUAAGUAAGAGACUUAUGGAAGUUAUCCACGAUAUCAUAAUCCUUUUAGCCUCAUGAAAAAUUUGUUAACAUGUUGUUUGAUUGGCCAUCUAAAGAACUAUCUAUAGUUGAUUUAAAUGUACCUAAAAAUAGCAGUCACUCAUCCAAUAUUUAUCGGUUGCACUUGUAACACCUUUCCUAAAUUAACAACCUUUUCACUUUUCUCUAGUAAUCAACGUGUAUGAGUUUAGUGCUAUUAUUUCUCAUUUGCUUUGAUGUUGUUUAUACAUUUAAAUUUUGAAGUUAAGUUUAUUAGAAGAUAAAUGAAUAUGGUUGCUCAUAUCAUGGGUUUAUCUUGGUAGCUUUGAGAGUGCUUUUCCUUGUAUUCAUUCCAUUUUUUAUUUUUAUUUUUGGUCAAAUCAUUUUAAGUUAUUUAAUGAUAUGAAUUAAGUUUGUUUUUGUCAAAGAAAAUUGCAUUUUGUCCUCGUGAGCUUAACUCAGUUGGUUUGGGUAAUGCAUAAUAUAUGCAAGGUCUGAGGUUCAAACCCCGGCCACCACUAAGAAAAAAUUUGCAUUUUGAAUUUUCUAUUAAAAUAAUUAAUUGUGACAUAAGUCAACGACAAAAUAAAUAAAAUUUAUCUCUAACAAAAUCAUGGAUUAUUUUAUCUGAUUUCAAUCUAAAAUUCAACUUAUUCUUUCCCUAAAAAAUAAUCAACUCAUUCUAAAAUUUUAAAAUAUAUAGCAUAUACAGCUAAAAACCAAAUUUAAAAUUUAUUACUUUUUUUUAAUAGACAAAAUUUGUUACUUAAAUCUAAUAAAAUAAAGGAUUUGACUCGGCUGAUAGACUUAUUAAAUCAUGAUCAAAUACAUGUACAUAAUACAUUUAUGAUAAAUGAUAAAUUAUAAAAUUACAUAAAUUAAAAGUAAUGACAGUAAUAUAUUAAUAUAUACCAAUUUUAUAGAAUUACUUCAAAAGAUUUCAUUUACAAAUAUAACAAUUUUUUUUUUCUUUAAAUUGGGAUACAUUUUUUUUGGGAGAUCUUAAAAGGGAUAUCAAGCACAUAAUUAAUACAUGAAAUAUAUAUUGUUAUACCUAAUUUAUUUUAUAAAAAUAUUUAUUUUUAUUAAUUAUGCAAAGAAAAAAACAUGUAAAAAGAAAGUAAUGAUUAGUUUAUUCUUUUUGAAUUCAAAAGAUUGACCCAACCACCAUUUAAAAGAAAAUAUAUAUUGACCCCCUGAUAAUAUAUAUAUUUUUUAAAAAAACUAAUAAUAUUUAAAGAAAAUAUAUUUGGGCCAAAUGCAUUUCUUCCACCCUAAAUUAUUGGUUGGUUUCUCAUAGGUUGCAUCACUUGGAGGUAUCCUAUUCAAGUUACCAUUGGACACUAAAUUUAAACACUUAUCUCAAUUGAUAUUCAAAAUUAAUUUAGUCAUCCGUGUUGUGAUGAAUUCUAACCCUUUCAUUACAUCAACCAUGUUAGUUGUUGGAUUAAGUACUGUUCUGGAUCAGCAGAAAGCCUAAUGGAAUUGAAGAAUAUGUGUAUGAACAUUAGCUGGCUUGAUUGAAGCGAAUCAUAACCAAGAAUAAAUAUCGUACCAAAUUUGUCCAAAAAAACCACAAUGCAAGAAAAUGUGAUCAAUAUUCUCUUCAAACCCACAACCUCCUAAACAAAGAGAUAUAUUCGGUUGCAAAACCCUUCUUCUGAUUAAGUUGUAUGUUGUUGGAAGUCGAUUACGCAAUAAACGGCAAGCGAAAAUGUUGACUUUUAGAGGAACCUCCUUAUGCCAAAUAAUUGAAAUAUGAUAAUUGUUGAAAGUUUGAUCUCUUGAUGUUAGGAAGUUGUAAACACUAGCAACAUUGUAUUUUAAAGAGACAUGAAGUUGCCAAGUCCACUUGUCAUUCACAUUAUCCUGCAAAACAAUUGUUAGUAAAAGCGCACAACAUUCACUCCUCAAUUCUUUCUCCUAAGCCAAUAACCUACGACAUCAUUUCCACACCUCUCCGCCCUCCCCCCAGCCCAGAGAAAACAUGUCCGUCACAGUUGCCAAUUUGUUAUUUGAAAGAUAAAAAGAUGAUUAAAUCUAUCUUUCAAAGUCCCUCCUCCUAACCAAGGAUCCCACCAAAAUAAAGUUCCUACACCAUCCCCCACCUCACGCCCUAAGUAAACCAACCUACAACCCCUUCUCCAGUGUCCCUCUGAAUACUAAGCAAAUUAUUCCACCACACCGACACUGAUUUCCCUCCAUUGCCUAUAGUUCCUCCUUCCUCGCCAUACCUCGCAGCUAAGACAUUAUACCACAAACAAUCUUUUUCCUCCCUUAAUCUCCAACACCAUUUUCCAAGUAAUGUCAGGUUGAAUUCCCUAAUCCUCCUGACCCCAGACUUCCCUCCUUCUUUUUGAGACAAAUAGUGUUCCAGUUUAUCCAAGAUAUUUUUCUAAAAGAAAUAGAUUUAAAAAAAAAAAUCCAAAACACGCACUAUUAAAAAAAUAUUUGAAAAUCCAAUCUGUCAAGACUUAUAUGAUUGCCAAUAUUAUUAAAGUCCAAUUCCUUGAUAGUAAUAAUAUGAGUUAGUGACCCACAUGUAUAUUGAUAAACCAAAGAUGAGGUAGAGCCAUCCUUUUCAGUCUUCUCUCAAACUUUAUCUUUUAUCUUUUCCCAAUACACAAACUCUUGUCUUGUGACCAUGUCUAUCACAAAAAAGAAUAGGAAAGUAUAAUUUUAGUUGUACUUCUCUUCUC
rnacentral:lncRNA from 1 species